rnacentral:lncRNA from 1 species
AUCAGGAACGCUCCCAACUUCUUAACUUUCUAAUGUUAUCUUUUUCCCUGUAGCAAUUUAGAGGGUCCUGGAUUUUCACAUAGGUGAAUUUGCUUUACAAGACACCAGUAGGAAGAUAGUCAGGGAAGAUCCCAUAAGAAGGACCCGGGUCAUGCUAUAAGACGUGAUAAUUUUGAUUUAACAACAAUUCUCCAAGCCUGUGUCUUAGUGUGGUUCACCAUUCAUCAAGGUAACGAUGGUCCUUCUGAAUUAAACAUGAUUUUUCUUAAGAGAAAAGGCUCAAAGGAAAUGUCAGAGUUAAUUGGAGA